UGGGAUAGGCUGAGGCAAAGGGAAGCCUCUCCCCCUGUGCAGCCCAGGCGCCGGGCGCUGGCUCUCCAGCUGUGUGUAGGCCUGGGGGCCAGGGUCCGCGGAACGUAGCGCCGACUGCGGCCCCGCCCGCCCGCCCAGCCGCUGGUCCGGCCGCGGGCUCCCGCCACCACCGCGCUCAAUCUGGGACCAGCCGCCUGGCAGGCCGUUCCGGUGCGCCUGCCCGCGCUUUUCACUGACGGGCACUGUUUCCCACAGCCAGUGCCGCCCGCCACGUCCCAGCUCUCGGCCAACGGAGGUGUGCGUCGGGUGACCUUUCCGAGCCCAGUGCGAUGACGGCUCUGUGCUCCUGGCCGGCACAGCUUCCUGGGCGCCGCCAGCUCGGGCUAAUGCCUUUCCCGCCGCCGCAGCCGCGGACGCCGCUGCUGUGGCCGCUGGUGCUGCUGCUGCUGCUGGCCGCCGUGGCGCCGGCGCGCGGCUGGGAGAGCGGAGACCUGGAGUUGUUUGACUUGGUGGAGGAGGUGCAGCUCAACUUCUACCAGUUCCUCGGAGUGCAGCAGGAUGCAUCAUCUGCAGACAUCAGAAAAGCAUAUCGUAAGCUUUCACUAACUUUACAUCCAGACAAGAAUAAAGAUGAAAAUGCAGAAACUCAGUUUAGACAAUUGGUGGCCAUUUAUGAAGUUUUAAAGGAUGAUGAACGAAGGCAGAGGUAUGAUGAUAUUCUGAUCAAUGGACUUCCAGAUUGGCGACAGCCUGUAUUCUACUACAGGCGGGUGAGAAAAAUGAGCAAUGCUGAGCUGGCAUUACUCUUAUUCAUUAUUCUCACAGUGGGUCAUUAUGCUGUAGUUUGGUCAAUCUACCUGGAAAAACAACUGGAUGAACUGCUAAGUAGAAAAAAGAGAGAAAAGAAAAAAAAGACUGGCAGCAAGAGCGUGGAUGUAUCCAAACUUGGUGCUUCAGAAAAAAAUGAAAGAUUGCUGAUGAAACCACAGUGGCAUGAUUUGCUUCCAUGCAAACUGGGGAUUUGGUUUUGCCUUACACUAAAAGCAUUACCUCACCUAAUCCAGGAUGCUGGGCAGUUUUAUGCUAAAUAUAAAGAAACAAGAUUGAAGGAAAAGGAAGAUGCACUGACUAGAACUGAACUUGAAACACUUCAAAAACAGAAGAAAGUUAAAAAACCCAAACCUGAAUUUCCUGUAUACACACCUUUAGAAAGUACAUAUAUUCAGUCUUAUGAUCAUGGAACUUCCAUAGAAGAAAUUGAGGAACAAAUGGAUGAUUGGUUGGAAAACAGGAACCGAACACAGAAAAAACAGGCACCUGAAUGGACAGAAGAGGACCUCAGCCAACUGACAAGAAGUAUGGUUAAGUUCCCAGGAGGGACUCCAGGUCGAUGGGAAAAGAUUGCCCACGAAUUGGGUCGAUCUGUGACAGAUGUGACAACCAAAGCCAAGCAACUGAAGGAUUCAGUGACCUGCUCCCCAGGAAUGGUUAGACUCUCCGAACUCAAAUCAACAGUUCAGAAUUCCAGGCCCAUCAAAAGUGCCACCACCUUGCCUGAUGACAUGAUCACCCAGCGAGAGGACGCAGAGGGGGCGGUGGUGGAGGAGGAGCAGGGGGGAGACUCUGGUGAGCAGGAGACGGGGGGCACCGAGGCCCGACCUCGGAGGCGGAAGCCAGCCAGGCUGCUGGAGACUACCGCGAAGCUGGAGCCAGAGGAGAAGUCCAGAGCCAGGCGGCAGAAGGACUUUGACGUAGCAGAACCAAAUGAGUCCAGCGACGAGGAGAGCCAGAAAAAAGAGAGAGCUCGGGCUGCAGAGGAGCCGUGGACUCAGAAUCAACAGAAACUUCUGGAACUGGCGUUGCAGCAGUACCCAAAGGGAUCCUCUGACCGCUGGGACAAAAUAGCCAGAUGUGUCCCGUCCAAGAGCAAGGGCGUGGAAAUAGUGUGAUGAAUGCAGCUUGCCUGAACGUGAAAAUCAUGAAGAUAACCAGAACACAGUUAAGGGACGUGAUUUGAUAAAAUGAGAUGUUUUCUCUAAGGAGUAAAGUGAGGGUACAGUUUCCUGGAGGAUAGUUUGGGUGACAGAGGUUCCCACUCUGCAGUGCAAGCUUCUUUCCAUACAGAGGACAUGGAACCAGAACGCCCCAGGGUAGAGGUGAGUCCUGGUCCUGCCCCAGCCCUCGUGAAGACCCACCUGCCUCAGAGAAUGGCUGAGCCCCAGAGACACCUGAGUCAGGACCCAGCCUGGCAGGAUCUCCUACAACUACGUGCACCGGCACCUGUGCUGCAGGUCUGCCGCCCCUAGCCACGGACCAGCACCUGAGCUCAGGCCUUUAAGACCAGGAGUUGGCUCUGCAGGCUGAGGAGAGGUGAGACUUUGGUGUGGGGGCCUGCGUGACUGCAACUGGACAAGGUUAGUCAUUUGGUGAAAACAUGUUGGUAUUUUCUAAAACAAAUCCGACUUCUAAAUAUUGGGCUGAAACAUGAAUGGUGUUUCUCUCGGGUCUGGGGACUCCCUUUGUAACCACACUCCAGGCCAGGCCCGAGUCUGAGACGUGGAGUGGGAGCCAGGCCAGGCCCGAGUUUGAGACGCGGAGUGGGAGCCAGGCCAGGGUGGCCUCUUGCCCUCACAGCCUUGUCAGGAACGGUCCCAAACCAAGAGUGUCCCUGGGUCAUCUGUGGGUCAUACAGUAUACCGUUUACAAAAUGAAAUCGACAGAUUUGGGGGGCAACAGUAGGGUCGCCAUGUGAUUUACUGUGGCCUAAGUCAUAAAGGAAAAUGAGCCAUGUUGGUCAUGUUUGCUUUUGUUAUUACUCAAAAAGAAAUAUCUUGUAAAAUGUGAGAUAAAAUGUCUCAUUGCUUAUACUGUCAUUUUGGUUCCAAUCUUGGUUUCACAAAGUUAGAUAUCACUGCAGUUAAACAGAUGUCUUGACAUAUUUGAUCUCAACUGUUUUCCCUUCAGAGGCUUGGCUUAAAAAAUCACUAUUGGAAAUUUGCUGUUUGGAUACAAUUAUGUCUGUCCUGUUCUGUUAAAAACUAGAAUUUAAAAAUUG